AUACGUAGGUGGCAAGCGUUAUCCGGAUUUACUGGGUGUAAAGGGCGUGUAGGCGGGAUUACAAGUCAGAUGUGAAAACCAUGGGCUCAACCCAUAGCCUGCAUUUGAAACUGUAGUUCUUGAGUGAUGGAGAGGCAGACGGAAUUCCUCGUGUAGCGGUGAAAUGCGUAGAUAUGAGGAGGAACACCAGUGGCGAAGGCGGUCUGCUGGACAUUAACUGACGCUGAGGCGCGAAAGCGUGGGGAGCAAACAGGAUUAGAUACCCUGGUAGUCCACGCUGUAAACGAUGGAUACUAGGUGUGGGGGGACUGACCCCCUCCGUGCCGGAGUUAACACAAUAAGUAUCCCACCUGGGGAGUACGAUCGCAAGGUUGAAACUUAAAGGAAUUGACGGGG
rnacentral:rRNA from 1 species